rnacentral:rRNA from 1 species
AUACGGAGGGUGCAAGCGUUACUCGGAAUCACUGGGCGUAAAGCGCGCGCAGGCGGCUAUUUAAGUUGGAUGUGAAAGCCUACGGCUCAACCGUAGAACUGCAUCCAAAACUAUUUAGCUAGAGUGUGGGAGAGGAAGAUGGAAUUAGUUGUGUAGGGGUAAAAUCCGUAGAGAUAACUAGGAAUGCCAAAAGCGAAGGCAAUCUUCUGGAACACUACUGACGCUGAGGCGCGAAAGCGUGGGGAGCAAACAGGAUUAGAAACCCUAGUAGUCC